rnacentral:rRNA from 1 species
UACGUAGGGUGCGAGCGUUGUCCGGAAUUAUUGGGCGUAAAGAGCUCGUAGCGGUGUGUCACGUCGGCCGUGAAAACCUGCAGCUUAACUGUGGGCGUGCGGUCGAUACGGGCAUCACUGGAGUUCGGCAGGGGAGACUGGAAUUCCUGGUGUAGCGGUGAAAUGCGCAGAUAUCAGGAGGAACACCAGUGGCGAAGGCAG